rnacentral:rRNA from 1 species
UACGUAGGUCCCGAACGUUGCGCGAAUUUACUGGGCGGAAAGGGUCCGUAGGCGGUUUAGCAAGUGGUUGGUGAAAUUUCACCGCUCACCCGUGAAACUGCCUUCCAAACUGCUAGACUUGAGGCAGGGAGAGGUCGGCGGAAUUCCCGGUGUAACGGUGAAAUGCGUAGAUUUCGGGAGGAACACCAGUGGCGAAGGCGGCCGACUGGAACUGUCCUGCCGCUGAGGGACGAAAGCUAGGGGAGCAAACCCG